rnacentral:rRNA from 1 species
UACGGAGGGUGCAAGCGUUAUCCGGAUUCACUGGGUUUAAAGGGUGCGUAGGCGGGUUGGUAAGUCCGUGGUGAAAUCUCCGAGCUUAACUCGGAAACUGCCGUGGAUACUAUCAAUCUUGAAUAUCGUGGAGGUAAGCGGAAUAUGUCAUGUAGCGGUGAAAUGCUUAGAUAUGACAUAGAACACCAAUGUCGUAGGCAGCUUACUACACGAUCAUUGACGCUGAGGCACGAAAGCGUGGGGAGCAAACAGG